CAUUUCAAAGUCUUCACAGUGAGCUCCAAAGAGUUUCUAAAAAAGAAACGCUUAAAUGCAGAUGAAACUGAAAUACCCAAACUUCAGCAAUUUUUGCAAGAUCUCAAUGACUGUCACUCAGAGACAUUCAACUAUGUGUCUGGAGCUUAUGGGAUUCUGUCUUUGAUUCAAGGGGCCAACUGCAGAGGAGUGGUAAGU